GAUGAACGCUAGCGGCAGGCCUAACACAUGCAAGUCGAGGGAGGAGCUUUCGGGCUUCGACCGGCGUACGGGUGCGUAACGCGUAUACAAUCUGCCUUUCACAUAGGGAUAGCCCGAAGAAAUUUGGAUUAAUACCUAAUGGUAUAUAGGAGUGGCAUCACAUUUAUAUUAAAGCUGAGGCGGCGAAAGAUGAGUAUGCGUUCUAUUAGCUAGUUGGAGAGGUAACGGCUCCCCAAGGCGACGAUAGAUAGGGGUUCUGAGAGGGAUAUCCCCCACACUGGUACUGAGAUACGGACCAGACUCCUACGGGAGGCAGCAGUGAGGAAUAUUGGACAAUGGUCGGAAGACUGAUCCAGCCAUGCCGCGUGCAGGAAGACGGCCUUAUGGGUUGUAAACUGCUUUUGCAGGGGAAGAAUAAGGACUACGAGUAGUUUGAUGACGGUACUCUGCGAAUAAGCAUCGGCUAACUCCGUG
rnacentral:rRNA from 1 species